rnacentral:rRNA from 1 species
AUUGAACGCUGGCGGCAUGCCUAAUACAUGCAAGUCGAACGGUAACAGGUUCUUCGGAAUGCUGACGAGUGGCGGACGGGUGAGUAACGCGUGGGAAUCUGCCCAGUAGGAGGGGACAACCCGAGGAAACUCGGGCUAAUACCGCAUACGCCCUACGGGGGAAAGCAGGGGAUCUUCGGACCUUGCGCUCGCGUCCGAUUAGCUUGUUGGUGAGGUAAUGGCUCACCAAGGCAAUGAUCUGUAGCUGUUCUGAGAGGAAGAUCAGCCACACUGGGACUGAGAUACGGCCCAGACUCCUACGGGAGGCAGCAGUGGGGAAUAUUGGACAAUGGGCGCAAGCCUGAUCCAGCAAUGCCGCGUGUGUGAAGAAGGCCCUAGGGUUGUAAAGCACUUUCAGUUGGGAGAAACCGCAGAGGGUUAAUACCCCUCUGUCGUUACCCAAAAAAUAAGCACCGGCUAACUCUGUGCCAGCAGCCGCGGUAAGACAGAGGGUGCAAGCGUUAAUCGGAAUUACUGGGCGUAAAGGGCGCGUAGGUGGCUCUGUAAGUCGGGUGUGAAAGCCCCGGGCUCAACCCGGGAAUUGCAUUCGAUACUGCAGGGCUAGAGUAUGGUAGAGGAAAGCGGAAUUCCCGGUGUAGCGGUGAAAUGCGUAGAUAUCGGAAGGAACACCAGUGGCGAAGGCGGCCACCUGGAUAGAUACUGACACUGAGGCACGAAAGCGUGGGUAGCGAACAGGAUUAGAUACCCUGGUAGUCCACGCCCUAAACGAUGAGAACUAGCCGUUGGGGUAUUUAAACCCUUCGUGGCGGAGCUAACGCGUUAAGUUCUCCGCCUGGGGAGUACGACCGCAAGGUUAAAACUCAAAGGAAUUGACGGGGGCCCGCACAAGCGGUGGAGCAUGUGGUUUAAUUCGAUGCAACGCGAAGAACCUUACCUGCCCUUGACAUCCUCGGAACCCUGCAGAGAUGCGGGAGUGCCUUCGGGAACCCUGGGACAGGUGCUGCAUGGCUGUCGUCAGCUCGUGUCGUGAGAUGUUGGGUUAAGUCCCGUAACGAGCGCAACCCUUGUCCUUAGUUGCCAGCAUGUAAUGGUGGGAACUCUAAGGAGACUGCCGGUGAUAAACCGGAGGAAGGUGGGGACGAUGUCAAGUCAUCAUGGCCCUUAUGGGUAGGGCUACACACGUGCUACAAUGGUCGGUACAGAGGGUUGCAAAGCGGCGACGUGGAGCUAAUCUCAGAAAGCCGAUCUCAGUCCGGAUUGGAGUCUGCAACUCGACUCCAUGAAGUUGGAAUCGCUAGUAAUCGCGAAUCAGAAUGUCGCGGUGAAUACGUUCUCGGGCCUUGUACACACCGCCCGUCACACCAUGGGAGUGGGUUGUACCAGAAGUAGGUAGACUAACCGCAAGGAGGUCGCUUACCACGGUAUGGUUCAUGACUGGGGUG